UGUUUGGAACGUCAAUAGACGGAAGAGGAAGGACGUCAUUAGACGGAAGAGGAAGGAAAGUGUGUUUGAAACUAAAAUCGCUAGUAACAACCAGCAUCAAACGUAACAUUGCUUGUCAAAUGGAUAUCAUUUCUCGUUAUGGUUUGUAGUUAUGCUGGCUUUGCUUCUGCUGUCUUUCUACAACAUCCGAAGUUUCCCUGGCACACAAACGUACUUGUUUCAUUUCGAAUGCUGGGCCGGACAGGAAAAUGGUCCAAUUCACACACUGAUCAAGAGAACAUCCCUGGUCGUCCCUACUGCCUCUGAUCUGGAGGACUCACUAAACAGAGAACAUCCCUGGUCAUCCCUACUGCCUCUGAUCUGGAGGACUCACUAAACAGAGAACAUCCCUGGUCAUCCCUACUGCCUCUGAUCUGGAGGACUCACUAAACAGAGAACAUCCCUGGUCAUCCCUACUGCCUCUGAUCUGGAGGACUCACUAAACAGAGAACAUCCCUGGUCAUCCCUACUGCCUCUGAUCUGGAGGACUCACUAAACAGAGAACAUCCCUGGUCAUCCCUACUGCCUCUGAUCUGGAGGACUCACUAAACACAUGCUUCAUUUGUAAAUGAUGUCUGAUUGUUGGAGUGUUCCCCUGGUUAUUUCUUAAAUAAAAUAACAAGAGAAUCGUUCUGUCUGGUUUGCUUAAUAUAUGGAAGGUCAAAUCAUUUAUACUUUUACCACUGAUACUUAAGUAUAUUUUAGCAAUGACGUUUACUUAGUAUUUUACUGGGUGACUUUCACUUUUACUUGAGUCAUUUUCUAUUAACAUCAUCUUAUUAUUGUACCUUUUUGCCUUCAUUUGCCUCCUACUGUCUAUAAGCUGUCAUAACAUGUGGGUUUUUUAAUGUGGACCAGGUAUCGGAACGCCUUUGAAGGAUCUACAAAGCCCCCAGGUAAAAGUUGGCUUUUGCAGACAAGGAUUGUAUUGUUACUCCACGACAUAAUAUGUUAUCACAACUCUAUUAAAAGGACAUUCUACACAAGGUGUCACUUCAUUCCUUCUAUUUGAUGGGAACUCCUGUUUAGGAAUGGGGAACGAGUGCUAUCUCUCUGGGGGAAAAAACAUGUUUAUACCUAUGCAGUACCUUUACCAAUAAUAAUAAUAAACCUCUACUUUAGUAAAGUUAAUAAUUAUGACAGGUGUGUUGUAAUAAAAAUGAGUGGUGUCCACUGACUAAAUGCAGUCUUUCUGGAAAACCCAGAUAUUCACAAAGUGUUUGAUGAAUGACACGUUGCCUCUUCAUGCAAAAUAGAUUUGACCUUUAAAAUUCAAUGAAGCUGCUUUAUUUUCAGGGUUUAGUGAAGGUGGGUCAUUUUUUACCCUUGGGACAAUGGGAGUAAACAGACUGCUAAGACUACACAAGGGUUAAGUCAAGUAUUUACAAGGUGUCUAGUCAUUUCUGGUGGUUAAUGUCUAAUUGACCACACAUUAGUGCAAGUUGAAGUGUUGUCAGUGCUACACAGGUGUCUGUAGUCUAGGUGCUCGUUAUAAGUGCUUGAAAUCAUAGAUUGCCGUGUUCAAGAGCAUCAAGACUGUGAUUGAAGGGUGAAUUGUGACUGAAUUACUGAGCUACAAAUAAUAUGAAGUAGUUAUUUAUAAGUCAAGGUUACUCUACAUCACUCUCGACUCGCCUUGAAAGUCAUCUGCAAUGUGGAACGUCCAACAAUUCAUUGACACAGUUGUGACUGACUCCUUCAUAGCCGUCGGCCAGCUCUUUCACAUCCACCAUCUAAUUGAGGUGAAAGGACAGAAAUGUUGAAAGUGUGUUUUCUGCAGCACCAGUUAGGACCGUUCUCCUAUGAUGUAGUAGACCCUAUCAGAAAACAUUUACUCACUUUUUACUUUUAUACAAAAAACAUGCCAUUUCUCCAUUUUGGUGAAAAGUGGGCCAUUAGCUAAACCACAACCUUCCUGUCCAAAGACCUUCAUGAACUACUGAAACUAUAUCUGACAGUUUGGGGAGGAAUUCAUUCUAA